rnacentral:rRNA from 1 species
GACGAACGCUGGCGGCGUGCCUAAUACAUGCAAGUCGAGCGGACCGAAGGGAGCUUGCUCCUUUAGGUUAGCGGCGGACGGGUGAGUAACACGUGGGUGAUCUGCCUUGUACUUCGGGAUAAGCCUGGGAAACUGGGUCUAAUACCGGAUAGGACCAUGCUUUAGUGUGUGUGGUGGAAAGUUUUUUCGGUACAAGAUGAGCCCGCGGCCUAUCAGCUUGUUGGUGGGGUAAUGGCCUACCAAGGCGACGACGGGUAGCCGGCCUGAGAGGGUGUACGGCCACAUUGGGACUGAGACACGGCCCAG